GCGGGAGUGGCGGAACGGUAGACGCAGCGGCCUCAAAAGCCGCCGCCCCCAAAAGGCGUGCGGGUUCGAGUCCCGCCUCCCGCACCA
rnacentral:tRNA from 2 species